UACGUAGGGUGCGAGCGUUACUCGGAAUUACUGGGCGUAAAGCGUGCGUAGGCGGUUUAUUAAGCCAGAUGUGAAAUCCCCGGGCUAAUCCUGGGAAUGGCAUUCGAUACUGGCCGACUAGAGUACGAGAGAGGGAGGUAGAAGUCCACGUGUAGCGGUGAAAUGCGUAGAUAUGUGGAGGAAUACCGGUGGCGAAGGCGGCCUCCUGGAUCGAUACUGACGCUGAGGUGCGAAAGCGUGGGUAGCAAACAGG
rnacentral:rRNA from 1 species